rnacentral:rRNA from 1 species
CAGUCGCCGCGGUAAAACGAAGGGGGCUAGCGUUGCUCGGAAUUACUGGGCGUAAAGCGCACGUAGGCGGACUCUUAAGUCAGGGGUGAAAUCCUGGAGCUCAACUCCAGAACUGCCUUUGAUACUGAGAGCCUUGAGUUCGGGAGAGGUGAGUGGAACUGCGAGUGUAGAGGUGAAAUUCGUAGAUAUUCGCAAGAACACCAGUGGCGAAGGCGGCUCACUGGUCUGUAACUGACGCUGAGGCGCGAAAGCGUGGGGAGCAAACAGGAUUAGAUACCCCUGUAGUCCCUGUCUCUUAUAA